CGCAGAGUACAUGGGGGGAGGUCCGUAGCUACUGCGUGGGCCGGUACUGGCAGGGAUCCGGUCUGCUUCCCUGCUACCCGCUC
rnacentral:precursor_RNA from 1 species